AAAUUCAUUCUAUUUUCAGUAUAUUAUUAUAUUUACUCUAUCUAUUUUCUGAACAUUAUCUUCAUAUCUUCUUUUCGAGCCAUCAUUGUCACUUCCUUUAAUCUAUUGUCUGGCCAAAAAUAGCCGUGCAAAUUGGCCGAAUCCUUCCUUGAGUGUCAAGUGGCCCUUCUCAUACAUAUUUAGCUAGCCAUUCAAGUUAUAUCUAUCUAUUAAUGAUUUCUCAUCUCUAGUCCUGUAUCAAUUCGAUAUUCUUUGUCUUGGCAUCCUUCCAUACAAAUACUACUACAAAGUUGUAUUUUAGUUACUCCAGCUUCUUCAACGGAGAAGCCACACAUUUUUGUCCUUUGGCUACAUUAAGUAGAUCUUCUUCUUUUUACUACUUCUGUUGGAGUUUACCACUCCCUUUUCAUUCACUCCAACAGAAAAUCAUCAGCUAGUUGUUACAAACUAAAUAAGGUAUCUGAGAGACAACAAUGGUUAAAUGCAAUACAAUGUACAGGUUUUACUAGCGAAAUGAAAAUUUUCCUGUCCUGUCUGCUGUAAUCAUUUUAUAUCUGGAAAACCAGCCGACUUAAUCGAUAAUAACAAUCUCCAGAUUGGGUUCCUUCAAUAAAUAUGGUCUAUAAACACAAUGAAAUAAGUUCCCCAAACUCUAAAAUGGAGUGGUAUCAAAGGAGAAUUAAAGGGAAAAAUAUUCAUAUUGAAAUUAUUUAUAAGGCACUGGACUGUCUUAAAUUCUACAAUAAUACUAGAAUCAGCUGAGAGAAGUGGUCUACAAAAAACCAUGAAGGAAACGGAAUAUGUGGCUACGAAAGGCAAAAGAAAGGUUUACAAAGCAAAUGUGACACAUCUUUUUGAAAUAUUUAGGAAUAUCAGUAAAUUGCAUUGAAAAAAUGUAUGAAAAGAUUUUGUUCAAUAAAAAUGUUUAUAUUUA